UUGCUUCAGCAAUACAUAUACUAAAAUUGGAAUGAUACGGAGAUGAUAAACAUGGCCCCUGUGCAAGCAUGACACGCAAAUUCGUGAAGCAUUCCAUAUGUUU
rnacentral:snRNA from 1 species